UACGUAGGGGGCGAGCGUUGUCCGGAUUCAUUGGGCGUAAAGCGCGCGUAGGCGGCUUCGUAAGUCUGCCGUGAAAUCUCCAGGCUUAACUUGGAGGGGUCGGGCGAGACUGCGGAGCUCGAGGUGGGCAGAGGGCAGUGGAAUUCCGGGUGUAGUGGUGGAAUGCGUAGAGAUCCGGAGGAACACCAGUGGCGAAGGCGGCUGCCUGGGCCUGGCCUGACGCUGAGGCGCGAAAGCUAGGGGAGCAAACGGG
rnacentral:rRNA from 1 species